CCUGUCCCUAGAGGCUGUGCAGGUAUGGCUGCUGUAUCACGUCAGUAGGCUGCAGAGAGGAGAAAGGCUAUGUCUGUGCUCAGUGUUCUGACCUAAGAACAUCUGAGUGAUUAGUAUUCCCUGAAA